GCAAGUCGGACGGUAGGGCUUUAUCGUAAGAUAGAGUUUGAGAGUGGCGAACGGGUGAGUAACACGUAGGAAUCUACCCUCAAAACGGGGACAACCCAGGGAAACUUGGGCCUAAUACCGGAUGUCGUGCAAACAAUGUUUUGGCUGUUGUAAUUAUUCACGGAAGUGGAUAGUUAUGAGAGUUUCAGAGCAUAAUUUGCAUAAAAGGUGGCGUAAGCUGCCGUUUGAGGAUGAGCCUGCGUCCUAUUAGUUAGUUGGUGAGGUAAUAGCUUACCAAGGCGAUGAUAGGUAGGCGGCCUUAACGGGUGGUCGCCCACACUGGGAUUGAGAUACGGCCCAGACUCCUACGGGAGGCAGCAGUCGAGAAUAGUCUACAAUGGACGAAAGUCUGAUAGUGCGACGCCGCGUGAACGAAGAAUCCUUUCGGGGUGUAAAGUUCUUUUCUAUGUGAGCAGUUCCUUUUAUAUGAAGAGUAUAGGAGGCGGGAUUUAAGCAUAGGAAUAAGCAACGGCUAACUCCGUG
rnacentral:rRNA from 1 species